rnacentral:rRNA from 1 species
UCAAGCUGAAAAGAGCGCAAGGGGAAUGCCUUGGCAUCAGGAGCCGACGAAGGACGUGACAAGCUGCGAUAAGCCACGGGGAGGAGCAAAUAUCCGUUAUAUCCGUGGAUUUCCGAAUGGGGGAACCUGCUCAAGCAAUACUUGAGCAUCGUGCGUUGAAUCAAAUAGGCGUACGAAGGGAACGGCCUGAACUGAAACAUCUAAGUAGGGCCAGGAAAAGACAUCAACCGAGAUUCCGCUAGUAGUGGCGAGCGAACGCGGAGGAGGCCAAACCGAGGGACGCAAGUUCUUCGGGGUUGCGGACAGACAUCAAGACCAGAGGAAAUUAAGAGAACGGCGUGGGAAAGCCGGCCACAGAAGGUGAGAGCCCUGUAUCUGAAAAUGAAGACUGGCAGUCUGGAUCCAGAGUACCGCGGGACACGUGAAACCCCGUGGGAAACCGGGUGGACCACCAUCCAAGCCUAAAUACUACCUGAUGACCGAUAGAGGAGCAGUACCGUGAGGGAAAGGUGAAAAGGACCCCGGGAGGGGAGUGAAAGAGAACCUGAAACCUUGUGCUUACAAGCAGUCAAAGCACGUUAAAGUGUGAUGACGUACUUUUUGUAGAACGGUCCGGCGAGUUAUAGUAACGAGCAAGCUUAAGGUAUUGAGUACCGGAGGCGAAGCGAGAGCGAGUCUGAAUAGGGCGUAAAGUUCGUUGCCAUAGACCCGAAACCGGGUGACCUAUCCAUGAGCAGGCUGAAGUGAGAGUAAAAUCUCAUGGAGGGCCGAACCGACCCCCGUUGCAAUGGUGGCGGAUGACUUGUGGAUAGCGGAGAAAUUCCAAUCGAACUCGGAGAUAGCUGGUUCUCCCCGAAAUAGCUUUAGGGCUAGCGUUAUGUUAGAUUACCGGAGGUAAAGCACUGAAUGGUGGCGGGGCCGAUAAGGUUACCAAGACCUAUCAAACUCUGAAUGCCGGAUAAUUGAUGCAUAGCAGUCAGACAGCGUGAGAUAAGUUUCGUUGUCAAAAGGGAAACAGCCCAGACCCACAGCUAAGGUCCCAAAUUCAUGCUAAGUGGAAAACGAUGUGGAAUUGCGAAAACAACCAGGAUGUUGGCUUAGAAGCAGCCACUCAUUAAAAGAGUGCGUAAUAGCUCACUGGUCGAGUGACUCUGCGCGGAAAAUAUAACGGGGCUAAGCAUGAAACCGAAGCUUGGGCUUGUACUUAGGUACAGGGGUAGGGGAGCGUCGAGUAUGGGGUGAAGUCAGAGCGGAAGCACUGGUGGACUGUACUGGAGUGAGAAUGCCGGAAUGAGUAGCGAGAAUUAUGUGGGAAUCAUAAUGGCCGAAAAUCUAAGGUUUCUUGGGGAAGGUUCGUCCACCCAAGGUAAGUCGGGAGCUAAGCUCAGGCCGAGAGGCGUAGGCGAUGCACAUACGGUAGAAAUUCCGUAACCACCGAAACUUAAACAGAGGGACACUUCGAAAUAGCGGAACCCGGGCGUUGGUUGACCCGGGCGAAAGGGAGCGAAAUUAGAGUAGCGAAGUCCGCGAUGUUCGGAGGCGAGAAAAGCUCUGAGGUAUGCUAAGGUGCCCGUACCGCAAACCGACACAGGUAGAUGAGGAGAGAAUCCUAAGGCCAACGGGAGAAGGGUUGUUAAGGAACUCGGCAAAUUGACCCCGUAACUUCGGAAGAAGGGGAGCCCCCUACGGGGGGUCGCAGAGAAAUGGCCCAAGCAACUGUUUACCAAAAACACAGGUCUAUGCUAAAUCGAAAGAUGACGUAUAUGGGCUGACGCCUGCCCGGUGCCGGAAGGUUAAGAGGAGAUGUCAGGCAACGAAGCAUUGAAUUUAAGCCCCGGUAAACGGCGGCCGUAACUAUAACGGUCCUAAGGUAGCGAAAUUCCUUGUCAGGUAAGUUCUGACCCGC